rnacentral:rRNA from 1 species
GAUGAACGCUGGCGGCGUGCCUAAUACAUGCAAGUCGAGCGAACAGAUAAGGAGCUUGCUCCUUUGACGUUAGCGGCGGACGGGUGAGUAACACGUGGGUAACCUACCUAUAAGACUGGGAUAACUUCGGGAAACCGGAGCUAAUACCGGAUAAUAUUUCGAACCGCAUGGUUCGAUAGUGAAAGAUGGUUUUGCUAUCACUUAUAGAUGGACCCGCGCCGUAUUAGCUAGUUGGUAAGGUAACGGCUUACCAAGGCGACGAUACGUAGCCGACCUGAGAGGGUGAUAGGCCACACUGGAACUGAGACACGGUCCAGACUCCUACGGGAGGCAGCAGUAGGGAAUCUUCCGCAAUGGGCGAAAGCCUGACGGAGCAACGCCGCGUGAGUGAUGAAGGUCUUCGGAUCGUAAAACUCUGUUAUUAGGGAAGAACAUACGUGUAAGUAACUGUGCACGUCUUGACGGCACCUAAUCAGAAAGCCACGGCUAACUACGUG